rnacentral:rRNA from 1 species
AUUGAACGCUGGCGGCAUGCCUUACACAUGCAAGUCGAACGGCAGCACGGGAGCAAUCCUGGUGGCGAGUGGCGAACGGGUGAGUAAUAUAUCGGAACGUGCCCAGUAGUGGGGGAUAGCCCGGCGAAAGCCGGAUUAAUACCGCAUACGACCUGAGGGUGAAAGCGGGGGCUCGCAAGACCUCGCGCUAUUGGAGCGGCCGAUAUCAGAUUCGCUUGUUGGUGGGGUAAAAGCCUACCAAGGCGACGAUCUGUAGCUGGACUGAGAGGACGACCCGCGACGCGGGGAGUCGGACACGGCCCGGACUCCUUCGGGAGUCAGGAGGGGGUAAUUUUGGAAAAUGGGCGCAAGCCUGAUCCAGCCAUGCCGCGUGCGGGAAGAAGGACUUCGGGUUGUGAACCUCUUUUGUCAGGGAAGAAACGGCUCUUGAUAAUACCGAGAGCUAAUGACGGUACCUGAAGAAUAAGCACCGGCUAAGUACGUGCCAGCCGCCGCAGUAA